rnacentral:rRNA from 1 species
UACGUAGGGGGCAAGCGUUGUCCGGAUUUAUUGGGCGUAAAGAGCGUGUAGGCGGUCAGGUAGGUCCGUUGUGAAAAACUCGAGGCUCAACCUCGAGACGCCGAUGGAAACCAUCUGACUAGAGUCCGGAAGAGGAGAGUGGAAUUCCUGGUGUAGCGGUGAAAUGCGCAGAUAUCAGGAAGAACACCCGUGGCUAAGGCGGCUCUCUAGUACGGUACUGACGCUGAGACGCGAAAAGCGUGGGGAGCGAACAGG